rnacentral:lncRNA from 1 species
ACUACAAUCUAAGUCUUUCUGAUUUCAAAGCUCCUGCUUAUUACCACUUCACAGCACACCUAGAAAGCAUAAGGUGGGAGCAGGUUAAAAUGCAUACUUGUCUUUGGUUAUCCCCUCUACUUUCCUGUCCUUCUCUGCCUACCUGUAUCUGCAUCCUUGGUCACUGUGGAAAAUUAUCUUCUAGGGUCCUGUGGUGACAGAUAAUGGGAAUUUU